AAUUUUUCAUGAUCAGUUCGGUGCGUAUAAAAUUGUCGAUGUGAAUAGUCAUAAUAUCAUGAUUACUUUGGUUAGGGGAAACCUGGAAAAGUCGGGAAUUUUUUUCCUGCUGAGUCUGCAGACACCCUGGACUUGGUUUGCAUGUUCCAAUUCUUGAGGAUAGCGUAACGUGAAAGAAGUUAAUCAGUAUGAGAGUUAAAUACCCCUAAUUGCCUCUCAUUUUAAAUGAAGUCCUGAGUGGUUUUUGCAAGUGUCAUCCAUUUCUGCCUCUAAACGCUCCCUUCAUACCUGUUCCUAAUUUUACAUGAAUCUCAAUUUAACAUAUGUCACCUGUCCUAAAUGGAAAAUUUGCACGCAAAUUUUUUUAUUGCUUCAUCUGAAAGUGCUUAAAGAGCUGAUUCCACAGUAUUUUUUAUAAUUUUUUUCUGACAUGGAAAAUGCUUGAAAAAUAGAUUUAAAGGCUAGAAAAAGCACCGCCUAGUGACGUCACCUGGCGGCAUUUCCCAUUUAAACACAUGUAUUUUAGCAGAAUCGAUUAUUUUGUCAUAUCUCCUCUAAUAAUUGCUCAAUUUAUGAAUGAAGGGUACCUCCGUGUUCAGUUCACUCAGUAGAUUCCACUUAAACACGAAAUUUAUCGAAUUUCAGACCCUUGCAAAUUCUCCAUUAUUGCAUCUAAGUCUUUUUCUAAAACUUCCAAUCCAGACAAGUUUCCUCCGUUUCUGUGCACCCUGUCAAUAAUUGAAUUACUGAAAGUUUGCCUCUCAGCAAGCACAUCUGAAUCAAAAACAGUUCUUCAAUAAAGGAGGGAGAGAUGAGCUUCACUUUUUAUUUAACCUUGUCUUCUUCACGAUUUUCUGUCUAGAUUUAUCACCAAGUCAGCCAAAACUGUCUAACGGUGACAGCAUAGAGAAAUUAAUGCGUAGUGCCUCAUUAGACUCUUAUCCUCUGGAUAGUCUUGGAAGUAGACAGAAUGGCGAUGAGUGCAGCUCACCAGUCAGUGGCCUUUUGUUACCGCAGUUUGGUCAAGCAAUCGAUAGAGUGACCAGACAAACACCAAUCAAGCCUCUUGUAACCGAUCCUGUUUUUCACCUUCUUUGGCCUCAACCACAAAAUGUAACGGAAUUGAAAGGUGCACCAUUUUUUCCAAAGUCAGCACUCUUUGUAUCUGUCAUUCAAUCGAGGCAUCAUUCCAUUCACAGGGUUCUUGAUGUUUGGGAGCGGGCAAGGCCUGCUCUUUUGGCAUUGAAUCUGAAUGUAACAGUGAAAGACGUUCAACCGUAUUCAGGCCAGCUCACCGACGCGCAAAUUGAAUGCAUCAUCAAUCCACAUCUUUUUACCAUGUACAAUGCGUACAAUUCACAUCUCUCCGUUAAAGGUUCACUUUUUCGCUUCCAUAGCUCAUAGUUUUAUACAUUUUUUUCUUUUAUUCCAUGGUUAUGUAAAAUCAUUAGUUGUUUGAUCAAUUAGGCCAUUUAAAAAAUGAGGAGGCGGCUAUAAAAACAGCCCAUAUGAGUAUGAGCUGUUUUGGUUUUUCUUAUUGCAAACAAUUACUCCUCUUAGAGAGUAUAACUUUUUUUGAAUAUGAAGAUGAUCUAAUAAUUCUACAGCUCAAAAAGUCAAUUUGUUCAGCAAGAAAACCAGGGCAUAUGGGCACUUAGCAGGGUGUCGAGCAUUAGGAAAAACCAGAAAAUAUCAGGAAUUUUGGCAGAUCAGGAAAAAAUCAGAAAAAUCAGACGUUUUAUCAGGAAUUUUUCUGACGCGAAUCUCCUCAACGGAGAAAGUCUUACUGCUUUUUGCCUACCGUGCCAGGAGUCGAGAAAAAUCAGGAAAAUAUCAGGAAUUUUCAAAAUGAAAAAAUCAGGAAUUUUUUAUAAAAUAUCAGGAAAAAUCAGGAAAAUAUUAGGAUUUUUCAAAAUUUAAAAAUACUAGACACCCUGCUUAGCCUGGUAUCAGCA
rnacentral:lncRNA from 1 species